rnacentral:misc_RNA from 1 species
AAGGUACUAAAAAAAGGUCUUUCAAAAAUCUGAGUGGGCUUUUAUUUCACAAAAAAAAAAACAAUCAAGAUGCUGAUAAAGACAAGAGUCAUAUGGAGAGAGAGAGAGAGAGACAUAGCUAUGCCAUCAGAGAGGAAACUGAGGGGAAACAACCAAUAAAUCGAAGAAUAUAUAAUGCAAGUAUGACAAAAGAUGGGAUGACAAGAAAGAUGGAGCGGAGGAAGAAAAAAACUCGACUAAAGCCAAAAGACAGGUUCCCCUGUACGUACGUGCUCCCGCUUGCUUCCAAGCUGCUCAGAAAUCAUGUUUCCUACCCAAUCCCAGUUCUUGGUAAUAAAAAUUAAUAUGCCCGAUCACAGCGUGGCUAUAAUAGAAGUCUUUCUUAAUUUUGGAGCUAUGCUGCUCCGUACAUACGGAGUACUAGACUUCGUAAAACCUCAGAUUUACCUA